UACAGAGGGUGCUAGCGUUGUUCGGAAUUAUUGGGCGUAAAGGGCGCGUAGGCGGCCCUGUGUGUCGGGUGUGAAAGCCCACCUCUUAAAGGUGGAAUUGCAUUCGAAACUACAGAGCUGGAGUGUCGGAGAGGAUGGCGGAAUUCCUGGUGUAGAGGUGAAAUUCGUAGAUAUCAGGAGGAACACCGGUGGCGAAGGCGGGUCUCUGGGCCGUAACUGACGCUGAGGAGCGAAAGCAUGGGGAGCGAACAGG
rnacentral:rRNA from 1 species